rnacentral:rRNA from 1 species
AGUCAUUGCAGUCUCCUUUCUUCCCCAAUCGCACACUCCCACUCAACAGCAGCCGGUCUCAUUCAUCUCUCCAACGGCGACGAAUGCCGGCGACCCUAGCUUGUUUCCUCUUCGUCUUCGUCGGCGCUAGGGGCGUUCGGAUCUUCGCACCCGUCGCCCUUGUGAGGAGCCUAGGCGUCGUCGCUCGGUCUCCGGGUUUCCCCCCACCGUCGAGUCUUCUCGGGCUGCUAGGUUUCCGUCCAUCUGGUGCUUCGAUUUCCGAAACCUCCUUCAACCUCCCCCUUCCCCCGACGUUCCGAAAUAUAUGAUCUACUCCAUAUCGUGAAGAUGCCGUCAGAGACAACUGAAGUUGAUGCCGCGGUGCGGAGUUCUGUUGAAUGUGCAGUUGGAAAGGUUAUCUCGGCCGCAAAGUCCAUGGGGCCAAAUUCGUCAAGCCCCCAAGCUGAAACCUCCAACUCUUCUACUCAUGUGCAUUCUAUUAUCAAUUCGAUUGUCGAAAAACAUCGUGCCAUCUGGGCCGAAGAGUUUGAAAUAAUUCAACAGAAACGUUUCUCCUUAAUGGCAGCCGACUUUUCUGACGCUAUUUCAUCACUCGUGCGCAACUGCCAGACUGACGUGGAUGCUUCUUUCCAUCAAGUUCGAGACCAGCUAUAUCCUGUUGGUACAACUGAAUAUCAAGUUCCACGUCCUGAUCAAGCUCCUGUCGAUCUGGUCCGAGAUCAGCAGAAUCCUCCUGUUGCAUCUGAAGUUCAGGUUCCAGAGGUUGUUCUAAAUUCAAUGGAUGCUAAAGAAAGUCAAGCCAGAGUGUCGGAUGAUAAUGUACAUGUCUCUCCUGUUCUAAAUUCAAAGGAUGCUCAGGACACUCAAGUGAACGAGAAUGUUGGCACCGAGGGUCUAGUCUCGGGUGAUAUCACACGCGUCUCUCCUGAUCCUAUUGAAGAUCAAUCUCCCAACUUUUCAAGAGGCAUAUGUGCUACUAUCAGCGAUGAUCCUUCUCACUUGGAGAAUGUUGCCGCUCCAACACCUACUGAUGCUAAUCUCACUGGUGGAUCAUUUGUAACACGAACCGUUGAUAGAAACUCAAAACGGAAUCAUGAUGAAACGGGAAACGGAAAUGAUGGGAAAUGGAAAAGAAAAAAGAAAAGAAGCUGUUCAGCAAUCCCACUUUGCAAACCUUCAUCUGAUCUCUCCCUAUCCGAUACCUCCAUGGCCCACAUGUCAGAGGCUGGCGACCCGUUCGAAUUUCUCCCGCUAUCAAUCCUCGCCGACAUCCUCGGCCGCGUCGCUCAUACCAGAGACAUCGCAUCGUGCCGCCUUGCCUCGCGCGAGCUCCUCGCCGCGGCUUACCAGUGCCCACGCAUCCGCCUCGACGCCUCCGGCCGAGCACCCGGUCUUCGGAAGGGUGGGGGAGGGGUCGAGGGCACCGCCUUCCACACACUCGCUGGAAACCUCGCGUCACGCCUCGGGUCGCACCUCCGCUCCCUUGUGAUCAUUGCGCCCGAAGGGCAGGGUUGCCCCGAUGAAGCGGCGUGGGUGGAGGAGGGGGAGUUCGAUGAGCCUGAUGAUCUGCAUGUUACCAGUGGAAACUCCGUGCGGGCGUGGGCUACAACAGCCGCAGGACCUGCCCUCCAGGAGGUGGAGAUCGCUGACUUCUGGCCACAGUCAUGCUGGCGGAAGGCGGAGGCGCUCCCUGUCAUUUCGCACUUCUGUCAUAAUCUGCUCAAACUGGGGCUGAAAAAUGCAUGGCUGUCUGUUGAUGGGCUCGAGAUAAUGCCUAACCUGACCCAUCUGACUCUUGAAUUCAUUAGACUCGAUGACGAGGACCUGAGCAAGCUGAAUGAAUGCUUCCCUUGCCUUCAGGUUCUCAAUCUUAUCAGAGUCGGGGGUCUCAAAAACCCCAAGAUUCACCUCUCUCAAGUAAAGACUUUCCGCUGGAGGUAUCAAAUGCUCCGUGUUCCUUAGCUAUCCAUGCGCCGAAUUUGGUUCAUCUCGAGUUGAAGUGUGUUCAACCAGAUAUCCUCAUUUUAGACACUCCUUCCGUGUCUACUCUGAAGCUGACCAUUGAUAAACUCGGUCCAACUGUCCAAGUUGACGGCCUAGCGAGUUUGAAAAAUCUUCGAAUCGAGUCCUCGGAGCUGAACUCCCUCCUGCAGCUGUUUGCAAGUGAUUGGGAUAUCAGGACAUUAGAUCUUGAGCUACCAGUUUCUGUGGACUGCAUGGACCUUUACUAUGAGGUGAAGCCAGACUACCUUGUCCAAUUGUUCUCCAGAAUCACUGAAGUGAAGCUGUCACCAAGGUUUUCAUGUGCACUGAUGAGCCUCCUAUGCCUCUGUACGAAUCAUGAGUCUGCAGGCCGUUUGGAGAAACUUCUGGUCCAUCUACCGGCAUCGGACAUCACUUCUUGUCCGUUCGUGCCGUUGCUUAGUGUGGGCGCGCCGUCGUGCGAGGUGACUGUUCUUUUCCAUGCUGAUACCAGCGAUGCUGUUCGUCAAGCUGCUGCAUCAGUCUGGCCACCAUUUGUUCGGGGACUCCCAAGGUUUCCGGAGAUCACAUGGCGAUGGGGUACUUGACAGUAACCCUUGUAUCCAUACUUCAUUCGAAGGCUAUCAUGAAUCUCAGAGCUAGCAGUGCCUGCGACACUUCUGUCGACCCAUCACCGUCUUCGACAGUUUCUGAAGCCUGUUGGUUUGGUCAUGGCACAUUUGCUGAUGGCCGGAUGUGUGCCUACUAUGCGCCGUAGCACUGUGGAAAAAUGUUCCAACAUGAAGAACUAUAUAUGGUUGUCUUGCUAGAUUAUGUAGUACUAUUUGUAUGAUGCAUAUGACCUGCUAAACAGUUUCUGAAAAGGACUGUGCUAACGACCAGUCGACUGGUCGUUAGCGACAGAUCCGCACGACUCCCCUCGA